CAGCAGCCACGGGAAUACGGAGGGUGCAAGCGUUAUCCGGAUUUAUUGGGUUUAAAGGGUCCGUAGGCGGACUUAUAAGUCAGUGGUGAAAGCCUGUCGCUUAACGAUAGAACUGCCAUUGAUACUGUAAGUCUUGAGUAUAUUUGAGGUAGCUGGAAUAAGUAGUGUAGCGGUGAAAUGCAUAGAUAUUACUUAGAACACCAAUUGCGAAGGCAGGUUACCAAGAUAUAACUGACGCUGAGGGACGAAAGCGUGGGUAGCGAACAGGAUUAGAUACCCCAGUAGUCCCUGUCUCUUAUAC
rnacentral:rRNA from 1 species